rnacentral:rRNA from 1 species
UUGGAGGGCAAGUCUGGUGCCGGCAGCCGCGGUAAUUCCAGCUCCAAUAGCGUAUAUUAAAGUUGCUGCAGUUAAAAAGCUCGUAGUUGAAUUUCGGGACCAAUAUGUCGGUCGUGCCUCGGUACGUACUGGCAUCGUUGGUUUCUCCCUUCUGACGAACCAUGAUGUCAUUUAUUUGGUGUCGUGGGGAAUCAGGACUGUUACUUUGAAAAAAUUAGAGUGUUUAAAGCAGGCUCACGCUUGAAUACAUUAGCAUGGAAUAAUGAAAUAGGACGUUUGAUUCUAUUUUGUUGGUUUCUAGGAUCGACGUAAUGAUUAAUAGGGACAGUUGGGGGCAUUAGUACUCAAUUGUCAGAGGUGAAAUUCUUGGAUUUAUUGAAGACUAACUACUGCGAAAGCAUUUGCCAAGGAUGUUUUCAUUAAUCAAGAACGAAAGUUAGGGGAUCGAAGACGAUCAGAUGCCGUCGUAGUCUUAACCAUAAACUAUGCCGACUAGGGAUCGGAUGAUGUUAAUUUUUUAAUGACUCAUUCGGCACCUUACGGGAAAC